ACAGAUGUGGGAGUCGUUUGCA
rnacentral:miRNA from 1 species